rnacentral:rRNA from 1 species
UACGUAGGGGGCCAGCGUUGUCCGGAAUCAUUGGGCGUAAAGCGCGCGUAGGCGGCCAGAUAAGUCCGGUGUGAAAGUCAAAGGCUCAACCUUUGAAUGCCGCUGGAAACUGCCUGGCUUGAGUCCGGAAGGGGCGAGUGGAAUUCCUGGUGUAGCGGUGAAAUGCGCAGAUAUCAGGAGGAACACCAAUGGCGAAGGCAGCUCGCUGGAACGGUACUGACGCUGAGGCGCGAAAGCGUGGGUAGCAAACAGG